rnacentral:rRNA from 1 species
AGCGCAGGCGGACCGGCAAGUUGGAAGUGAAAACUAUGGGCUCAACCCAUAAAUUGCUUUCAAAACUGCUGGCCUUGAGUAGUGCAGAGGUAGGUGGAAUUCCCGGCGUAGCGGUGGAAUGCGUAGAUAUCGGGAGGAACACCAGUGGCGAAGGCGACUUACUGGGCACCAACUGACGCUGAGGCUCGAAAGCAUGGGUAGCAAACA